ensembl:lncRNA
UUAACUUUGAGCCAAAGGGCAAUGUACAGAUUCGACUGACAGCAAGACAUAAGGUUUUAUUCCUCUCUUCGAUCAGCAAAGCGCAUAACAACGUAGGCUUCUGUCAUAUCUUAAUUGCAAUUUAAAUUCAUAAUAAUCUUUAAACACAAAUGGUCAAAAGUGUGUAUUUUAAAUGUCUGUGAUUGUUUUCGUGAUUUUUGGCCAUUUCAGAUGUACAAUUCGUGCGGUCUCCUUUUCCUUUCAUUUGGAUUUACCAUGCUGGAGUUCAUCACCUGUGACAGCGAUGGAUCUUUAUUGGCGGGUGAAUGUCAAAGAAUGGAUAUCAAUCAUGGUAAACCAGCACAAAACGGUGAAGCCCCCUUCAAGAUCGAACCAGAAUAUAAAGAAGUGACAGAUUCUGAACUGGGAAAGAACAUUAUUGUCUCGCUUAGGGCUUCGGCUCAAUUUAAAGGUUUCAUGUUGGACGCUCGUAAGUGUGAUGAGUGUGCGUCUGCUGGCAGGUUUCAUUUAAUCCAGACUGAACCGGACAACAGCAUACUCAUCUGUGAUGACCGUGUUGUGGCUCAAAGUAAUAACCAAAGAAAAACGAUAGUUAAUGUGUUGUGGAUCCCCGAAGAGACUGGAGUGUUUUUCUUCAGAGCUGCUUUCGUUGAAGAUUUCAGUAUUUUUUGGCUAAGGAAGCCGAUCAUACUCACGACGACUGCAUCACCCACCACUGAAUCCACCAGUCACAGUACACAAACAAGUCCAACAGAUAUGUCACAGACACAGACUGCAUCACUGACCUCUGAAGCCACAAUUGCACUAGCAUCGCCGCCUCAGUGUCUACAAUAUAUGAGAUAUGCUUUAGCACUGUUAUUAUUCAGUCGACUGUGUUUUCUUGGAGGCUCUUCUCUCCUGAUGAUUUUCAGACCAGCGUCAAAAAUGGCCACCAUGAUUGCGUCUGUCUUUGAACCAGCCUCCAAAACUAUUGCUGUCAUCUUCGUACUAAUAAAACUAAUUAAAUAUGAGUGUGCGUGUGAGUGUGAUAGUUUGCAGAUUGUGUUUAGUGCUUUGACAGUGGCUGCCAUGGUUUCAAGCCUGCUGCACACUCUCACCGUUUUCCUUUACUGUGGACCAAGCCAUGAAUUAAGGAAGUGUUGGCUCUGUGCCAUUAUAAUUGUUGGCCUAAUGAAUACUAUCAUUACAACAACUGCAAUAUUCUUUGAAAUAUGGUGCUUUCAAGAGCGCUGGCUGCCAUUAUUAAUGGGAGUUUUUGUUGUUUGGGAGUUCAUGCUUUAUCUUGGCUCAGUUUGCUGUGAACAGAUGGAAAAAUACAGGUCAAGAAAAAAUCAGAAUCGUACUGCGGAAAAGAGGAUAUCCCCAUGGUUGUUUAUGUUCAUCAUCUUUUCAGUGUUUAAUGCAAUGUUUACAGCUGCACUCAUAACAGGAGUGUCUUUGGUCAAAACGAAAAAUAGUUGAAGGAACGUCUGCAGAUUAGUGAAUAUGAUAUCUUGGUAUGUUUGCAAUUUGGGUGUAACUUUUUACAGCCCUAGUACAUCAGUAAUUGUUCAAAGGUAUAUGAAUAACAACUUUAUUGGAGUCAGAUUAAUUGUACUGAUGUCAGAUAAAUAGCUGAAUUAUCAUCUUUCAACUGCUUUUAUAUAUAUAUAUGUAUAUGUAUAUAUAUAUAUAUAUAUAUAUGUAUAUGUAUGUGUAUGUAUAUAUAUAUAUAUAUAUAAUUCAACUGCUGUUCACACUAAGAAUGAUGAUAACUAUAACAAUAAAGUUUUAAUUAUUGUUCUAAUUGUAUGAGAA